UACAGAGGUCUCAAGCGUUGUUCGGAUUCAUUGGGCGUAAAGGGUGCGUAGGCGGCGCGGUAAGUCGGGUGUGAAAUCUCGGAGCUUAACUCCGAAACUGCAUUCGAUACUGCCGUGCUUGAGGACUGGAGAGGAGACUGGAAUUCUCGGUGUAGCGGUGAAAUGCGUAGAUAUCGAGAGGAACACCUGCGGCGAAGGCGGGUUGCUGGGCUGACACUGACGCUGAUGCGCGAAAGCCAGGGGAGCGAACGGG
rnacentral:rRNA from 1 species